GACGAACGCUGGCGGCGUGCUUAACACAUGCAAGUCGAACGAAGAGCGAUGGAAGCUUGCUUCUAUCAAUCUUAGUGGCGAACGGGUGAGUAACGCGUAAUCAACCUGCCCUUCAGAGGGGGACAACAGUUGGAAACGACUGCUAAUACCGCAUACGAUCUAAUCUCGGCAUCGAGGAUAGAUGAAAGGUGGCCUCUACAUGUAAGCUAUCACUGAAGGAGGGGAUUGCGUCUGAUUAGCUAGUUGGAGGGGUAACGGCCCACCAAGGCGAUGAUCAGUAGCCGGUCUGAGAGGAUGAACGGCCACAUUGGGACUGAGACACGGCCCAGACUCCUACGGGAGGCAGCAGUGGGGAAUCUUCGGCAAUGGACGAAAGUCUGACGGAGCAACGCCGCGUGAGCGAUGACGGCCUUCGGGUUGUAAAGCUCUGUUAAUCGGGACGAAAGGCCUUCUUGCGAAUAGUGAGAAGGAUUGACGGUACCGGAAGAGAAAGCCACGGCUAACUACGUG
rnacentral:rRNA from 1 species